CGUUUACAUACAGCCUCCACAAUCUUCCAUAUGCUCUCAGACUCUUCCCUGCUCUAUAAUCUGCCAUGUUCAUUUGGAAUCUCUGUUUCGCCUCAAAUUUCUCUUCCCUACUGAUGUAUUCAUUAGCUACAAUAUGCACAGAUGUUAGGCAAGAGAAAGCAAUUAUUUUUGUCCCAGCUAAGAGAAAAAAAAGGUUGAAUCGAAAAGACAAAAACUCCAUCAAUCAAAUAGUACUGGCGCUCUUACAAUUAACACUUCUUCGUUAUCUCCUCAAGAAGGAACCUCAAAGAGCUCCCUGUGCUAUGAUUUUUUGAAUGCAGAAGAUUAGCUACUAAAAAUCGAACUCCGACUCAGCCCUUUAUAUUUGCCAAAUUAUGAAAUAAUCAUGUUAUAUGCCAAAAGUGAAACAUCUACUAUAUUUUUUUUAGGUGUAUAACAUUAGUUAAUAUUUGCAAAUCGUUCAAGUAGAUACCAUAUUGACGUCUGUUGUACAUGUUCUGAAUAUUUCUAAUAAUAUGUGAUA